ACUUUAGGAGCAAUUGCAACUUUCGCCACAAACUCGAAUAAGGGAGAGUUGGGCCCCUUUUCAGGCCCUGCUUCAUUGUGUAACCAGACUGGUUGAAGAUGAAGUUACUGGGAAAAAGGGGGUGAUUUAACUUUGGACAUUUCGGUGUCGACUGAGCGCUAGAGGAGUCAGAAAUGCAAGCAAAACUAUUGAAGGUCCAAGUGUAGUGAAUGCUAUGAGGAGAUCUAAACGAGAAGACAGCCGAAAGUCUGGGAACAAGGGAAACUUAAAUGUGAAGAAAAACAGGAGUGAUUUACCUUGUUACAAAUGUGGUAAUACGGGACACUGGUCUAAAGAUGAGAGUUGCACUCAAGAGGAGGUGUAACCGAUGCAAGUUAGUGGGGCAUAAUGUGUAAGACUAAAUUACAAACAGGGAGAAAAAGAACAGAACAUGGCAAAGUAAGACAAGUAACAGAUGAGACACCCAAGAAAGAGAAGGAAGAUUCUAAGAACAAAGAUUUUGUAUUUGGAAUUGAUACGCAUGCUAAGGAAAUGCAUGAUGGGACAAUUGCAGUCACUGUUGGGGGUGUAUCUUCAUAGAUGUUGAUCUACAGUGUUGUUUUCUUUGUUACAUUGUUACAUCCAGUGUAUAUAUACUUCCCCCUUCUUCAUGUUCCAUUAGUGCUUGACAAUGGUACAAGAAUCUGUAUCGAAACGUCGCACUCACGAAUAAAAAAGAAGUUGUUAUCCAUAAAAUUUGUUCUAUAUAGACCUGUCAAAGUGAGGAAAGUUGUUUCACCACGCGUUGGGUCCUUGGGAGAGACUGACAGUUCUACUCCAGUAUUCAAAACAUAAACCUCAAUCUUAUAAUUGUUUUGCAUCAGUGUGAGACAGUUAAAUAAUUGGGUGUAUAUCCAUGCAUAUCUAAUCUUUGAAGUUUGUAUUAAACUGAAUGCAGAAUGUA